rnacentral:rRNA from 1 species
CGAAAAAUAACGAUACGGGACUCAUCCGAGGCCCCGUAAUCGGAAUGAGUACACUCUAAACCCUUUAACGAGGAUCAAUUGGAGGGCAAGUCUGGUGCCAGCAGCCGCGGUAAUUCCAGCUCCAAUAGCGUAUAUUAAAGUUGUUGCGGUUAAAAAGCUCGUAGUCGAAUUUGUGUCCCGCGCCGCCGGUUCAUCGCUCGCGGUGUCAACUGGCGUGUCCGCGGGACGUCCUGCCGGUGGGCUUAGCCCCUGUGGGCGGCCCAAUCUCAAUCCCACCGCGGUGCUCUUCGCUGAGUGUCGAGGUGGGCCGGCACGUUUACUUUGAACAAAUUAGAGUGCUUAAAGCAGGCUAAAACAUCGCCUGAAUACUGUGUGCAUGGAAUAAUGGAAUAGGACCUCGGUUCUAUUUUGUUGGUUUUCGGAACCCCGAGGUAAUGAUUAAUAGGAACGGAUGGGGGCAUUCGUAUUGCGACGUUAGAGGUGAAAUUCUUGGAUCGUCGCAAGACGGACAGAAGCGAAAGCAUUUGCCAAAAACGCUUUCAUUGAUCAAGAACGAAAGUUAGAGGUUCGAAGGCGAUCAGAUACCGCCCUAGUUCUAACCAUAAACGAUGCCAGCUAGCGAUCCGCCGACGUUCCUCCGAUGACUCGGCGGGCAGCUUCCGGGAAACCAAAGCUUUUGGGUUCCGGGGGAAGUAUGGUUGCAAAGCUGAAACUUAAAGGAAUUGACGGAAGGGCACCACCAGGAGUGGAGCCUGCGGCUUAAUUUGACUCAACACGGGAAACCUCACCAGGCCCGGACACCGGAAGGAUUGACAGAUUGAGAG